AAAAAUCAACGUAGACAAACAUUGAACAAGAAAUGCACCUUCCUUUCUAACAGUAACAAAAAAAAAAAAAACUACUGUAAAAGAUAUAUCAUGAAACUCUUUAAAAAUGUUUUUGAACUUUUCUGAAAGUCUCAGGCUUACAAAUAUUGUAGAGCUCCCCUUCACCCUGUUUCCCUGAAGUUCAGAAACUCUGUUCAGGUUAGCAAUGAAGGGCGAGAUGAGGAGGAGGAGGCAAAGGAGCGCCACCGUGAUUUCAAGUCUAUUUUUGCUCUCCAAUACAAACUUACUGACAAAUAUUGAAAGAUACACAUCAAUGUGAGGCUUAAUUUACUGUGUGAAUUACUUCCCACAUCUGCUGCUGUUAUUGUCACCAGAUGGUUUGACUGUAACCCCACACCAGGCUGCUCCUCUCUUUAAUCUCCUCUGAUUGGAUUGAGUUAUAGACCUAAUGUGGAGGAGUUUUUAUCAGGUAUAUGUCACAGCUGCUCAUUAGUUUGCCAUCCUUGGUGUCUUGCUAAGUCUUUAAAGUUGUGAUCAUGUUAUUUUGAGUCAACACACACACACACACACACACACACACACACACACACACACACACACACACACAGCUGUCCUGCCUGUUUGAAUCAGGUUCAUGAGUUCACUGUGGCUCAGUGAAAGUCUGACAUAGUAAACAGUGCUGUGUUUGCAGUUUGGCACCUCUGAAAUUCAUGCUGCUGAUUAAAUAUGACAUGUAUAAAUACUGAGUAAUUACUUUAUUAUGAUGCAGUGAAGGCUGAUUAAACAGGCAGCAGGAUGAGAGCAGCCCAGCCUCCUCUGUGUUUUGUUUUCUGUUCUGAUGGAACGAGCUGACACUUGCUCUUUGCUUCUCUAAUUUCAAUCUUUGAUGGUGCAAAUAGGAUUCCGGUCCUUCUGAUGCACCAUGAGGAAACAGAGCAGGUACAUGCCCACACACACACACACACACCUCUGCCUGCUCUUGUUUAACACCUUCAACUGAACCUGAUGCAGACACAAACUUGGUGCUCAGAUCAGUUUGGUUUGGAGGAAGAGAAGGAGGAAAACCAUGCAAGAGCAGUUACAGCAGAUUCAGUUUCCUUUGGUUCAUAUUAUCAUGCAUAUUACCAACAAGAGGAAACCUCUGCUGCUGAGGAAUAAAACGAGUGCAGGGGUGCAAAAAACUGCAGUUCCUCAAGAAUCCUCCAGAACCAAGGAAACCCCCACAGAGCUCCUAUCAUCCUCUUUAACCAGCAUGUUUUAUCAAAUAUUUUAAUUCCUAUGAAAACCUUCUUUAAAAAGGUAUCAAAGAAAGUACCAAGCUUCAUUUCCGUAAAUAAAAAUGUAUUGUAACGUCUUCCAGCCAUUCGUGUUUGUUUUAAAGCUCUUGUGAGGAUCUUUUGGUUUGUGUUAACUUU